rnacentral:rRNA from 1 species
GAACGAAGCAGUACCGAAAGGAGCUGUGGACUGCAUGGAAGAGAGAAUGCCGGAAUGAGUAGCGAGAUAGAGGUGAGAAUCCUCUAGGCCGAAUAUCCAAGGUUUCCAGAGUAAAGCUGAUCUGCUCUGGGUAAGUCGGGGCCUAAGGCGAGGACGAGAGUCGUAGCCGAUGGACAACAGGUGGAGAUUCCUGUACUGCGGUAUGACAGAACUGUGGGGACACGUAAGGAAAGCGGAAGCCGGGAAUGGAAAGCCCGGUGCAAGCGGGGUACCAGUCACUUUGGCAAAUCCGGGUGGCAAUGGGAAGCCGUGAUGCGGAGUGAAAUAAAGUAACGAAGUCCGUGAGCCAUGCGUCAAGAAAAGCCGCUAUCGUUUAUACCGUACCCGUACCGUAAACCGACACAGGUGGAUGAGGAGAGAAUCCUAAGGCCGGCGGAAGAAGCAUUGUCAAGGAACUCGGCAAAAUGGCCCCGUAACUUAGGGAUAAGGGGUGCCUGGGAAACCAGGCCGCAGAGAAUAGGCUCAAGCAACUGUUUAGCAAAAACACAGGUCUAUGCGAAACCGAAAGGUGAGGUAUAUGGGCUGACGCCUGCCCGGUGCUGGAAGGUUAAGAGGAGAGGUUAGCGGUAACGCGAAGCUUUGAAUUUAAGCCCCAGUAAACGGCGGCCGUAACAAUAACGGUCCUAAGGUAGCGAAAUUCCUUGUCGGGUAAGUUCCGACCCGCACGAAAGGCGUAAUGAUUUGAGCGCUGUCUCGACAAUGCAUCCGGUGAAAUUGAAGUACCAGUGAAGAUGCUGGUUACCUGCGCCAGGACGGAAAGACCCCAUGGAGCUUUACUCCAGUCUGGUACUGGGACUCGGUAUUGCAUGUACAGGAUAGGUGGGAGGCUAGGAGAUGGUAACGCCAGUUGCCAUGGAGCCGCUGUUGGGAUACCACCCUUGCAGUAUUGGGUUUCUAACCAGCCGCCGUGACCCGGCGGUGGGACAAUGCCAGACGGGGAGUUUGACUGGGGCGGUCGCCUCCGAAAGGGUAUCGGAGGCGCCCAAAGGUUCCCUCAGAAUGGACGGAAACCAUUCGAAGAGUGCAAAGGCAGAAGGGAGCUUGACUGCGACACCGACGGGUGGAGCAGGUACGAAAGUAGGGCUUAGUGAUCCGGUGGUAUUAAGUGGGAAUGCCAUCGCUCAACGGAUAAAAGCUACCCUGGGAUAACAGGCUUAUCACUCCCAAGAGUUCACAUCGACGGAGUGGUUUGGCACCUCGAUGUCGGCUCAUCGCAUCCUGGGGCUGUAGUAGGUCCCAAGGGUUGGGCUGUUCGCCCAUUAAAGCGGUACGCGAGCUGGGUUCAGAACGUCGUGAGACAGUUCGGUCCCUAUCCGGCGUGGGCGUAGGAUAUCUGAGAGGAGCUGUCCUUAGUACGAGAGGACCGGGAUGGACGGGCCGCUGGUGCAUCGGUUAGACUGCCAAGUCUACGGCCGAGUAGCCAAGCCCGGAAGGGAUAAACGCUGAAGGCAUCUAAGCGUGAAGCCCCCCUUAAGAUGAGAUAUCCCAUUCGAAAGAAGUAAACCCCCUUGAAGACGACGAGGUAGAUAGGGCUGAGGUGGAAGUGCAGCAAUGCAUGGAGCUGACUGUUACUAAUCGGGUGAGGGCUUGAUC